rnacentral:rRNA from 1 species
UGCCAGCAGCCCGCGGUAAUACCGAAGGGUGCAAGCGUUACUCGGAAUUACUGGGCCGUAAAGCGUGCCGUAGGUGGUUUGUUAAGUCUGAUGUGAAAGCCCUGGGCUCAACCUGGGAAUGGCAUUGGAAACUGGCUUACUAGAGUGCGGUAGAGGGUAGCGGAAUUCCCGGUGUAGCAGUGAAAUGCGUAGAUAUCGGGAGGAACAUCCGUGGCGAAGGCGGCUACCUGGACCAGCACUGACACUGAGGCACGAAAGCGUGGGGAGCAAGCAGGAUUAGAUACCCUGGUAGUCCAAGGGC